GACGAACGCUGGCGGCGUGCUUAACACAUGCAAGUCGAACGGAAAGGCCCUGCUUUUGUGGGGUGCUCGAGUGGCGAACGGGUGAGUAACACGUGAGUAACCUGCCCUUGACUUUGGGAUAACUUCAGGAAACUGGGGCUAAUACCUGAUAUUAGCUCCUGCUGCAUGGUGGGGGUUGGAAAGUUUCGGCGGUUGGGGAUGGACUCGCGGCUUAUCAGCUUGUUGGUGGGGUAGUGGCUUACCAAGGCUUUGACGGGUAGCCGGCCUGAGAGGGUGAGCGGCGACAUUGGGACUGAGAUACGGCCUAGACUCCUCCGGGAGGCAGCAGUGGGGAAUAUAGCACAAUGGGCGGAAGCCUGAUGUAGCGACGCCGCGUGCGGGAUGACGGCCUUCGGGUUGUAAAAAGCUUUCGCCUGUGACGAAGAGUGAGUGACGGUAAUGGGUAAAGAAGCACCGGCUAACUACGUG
rnacentral:rRNA from 1 species